CAUUUUUAGCAUAGCUACCUUUAAGUAAGAGCUUUUUAAUUUCAUGGUGCAUAGAUUCAUACUCAGACUAUCUGAGAACUUCACGAUUACUUUUUUCCCUCAUGAAAUAAAGAGCUAUCUAGAGAAAAACUUUUCUCCAGUGAUUCCAAUUCCAUCCCAUCUCUCAAUUUCUUUGAGAAAUUGAGAAUUUAGACUGCCCGAGGUCAAGGCCAAGAAAAAAGGAAAAAACCGAUCAUGGUAGAUAGAGUGUCAUUAGUCAGCAGGAAAAUGCAGAGACAGAUUUUCAGCACAUCUAUUUGCUGCUU
rnacentral:lncRNA from 1 species